rnacentral:rRNA from 1 species
UGCCAGCCGCCGCGGUAAUACGGAGGGGGCUAGCGUUGUUCGGAAUUACUGGGCGUAAAGGGCGCGCGGGCGGAUUUGUCAGUCAGGGGUGAAAUCCUACAGCUUAACUGUAGAACUGCCUUUGAUACUGCAAAUCUUGAGUUCGGAAGGGAGAGGCGGAAUUCCAGGUGUAGUGGUGAAAUACGUAGAUAUCUGGAAGAACACCAGAGGCGAAGGCGGUCUCUUGGUCCAAAACUGACGCUGAGGCGCGAAAGCGUGGGGAGCAAACAGGAUUAGAUA